AGAGUUUGAUCCUGGCUCAGGACGAACGCUGGCGGCGUGCUUAACACAUGCAAGUCGAGCGAUGAAGCACCUUCGGGUGUGGAUUAGCGGCGAACGGGUGAGGAACACGUGAAGAAUCUGCCUUCAAUUCUGGGAUAACUCCGGGAAACCGGGGCUAAUACCGGAUAUGAGCCUUGGCCGCAUGGCCGGGGCUGGAAAGUUUUUCGGUUGAAGAUGACUUCGCGGCCUAUCAGCUUGUUGGUGAGGUAACGGCUCACCAAGGCGACGACGGGUAGCCGGCCUGAGAGGGCGACCGGCCACACUGGGACUGAGACACGGCCCAGACUCCUACGGGAGGCAGCAGUGGGGAAUAUUGGGCAAUGGAGGAAACUCUGACCCAGCGACGCCGCGUGAGGGAUGAAGGCCUUCGGGUUGUAAACCUCUUUCAGUAGGGAAGAAGCGAAAGUGACGGUACCUACAGAAGAAGCACCGGCUAACUAUGUGCCAGCAGCCGCGGUAAUACAUAGGGUGCAAGCGUUGUCCGGAAUUAUUGGGCGUAAAGAGCUCGUAGGUGGUUCGAUACGUCGGAUGUGAAAAUCAGGGGCUCAACCCCUGACCUGCAUUCGAUACGGUCGAGCUAGAGUUUGGUAGGGGAGACUGGAAUUCCUGGUGUAGCGGUGGAAUGCGCAGAUAUCAGGAGGAACACCGAUGGCGAAGGCAGGUCUCUGGGCCAAUACUGACACUGAGGAGCGAAAGCGUGGGGAGCGAACAGGAUUAGAUACCCUGGUAGUCCACGCCGUAAACGGUGGGCGCUAGUUGUGCGAACCUUCCACGGUUUGUGCGACGCAGCUAACGCAUUAAGCGCCCCGCCUGGGGAGUACGAUCGCAAGAUUAAAACUCAAAGGAAUUGACGG
rnacentral:rRNA from 1 species